GACGAACGCUGGAGGCGUGCUUAACACAUGCAAGUCGAACGAUGAAAUGGAGCUUGCUCCAUGGAUUAGUGGCGAACGGGUGAGUAACACGUGAAUAACCUGCCCUUAAUUUUGGAAUAACCCAGGGAAACCUGGGCUAAUACCGGAUAAGUAAACCUGUGGCAUCACAUGGUUUUGGAAAGUCUUUCGACUAAGGAUGGAUUCGCGGCCUAUUAGCUUGUUGGUGAGGUAAUGGCUCACCAAGGCGACGACGGGUAGCCGGCCUGAGAGGGGGAACGGCCACACUGGGACUGAGACACGGCCCAGACUCCUACGGGAGGCAGCAGUGGGGAAUAUUGCGCAAUGGACGAAAGUCUGACGCAGCGACGCCUCGUGAGGGACGAAGGUCUUCGGAUUAUAAACCUCUUUCAGCAGGGACGAAGCGAAAGUGACGGUACCUGCAGUAGAAGCACCGGCUAACUAUGUGCCAGCCGCCGCCGUAA
rnacentral:rRNA from 1 species